GCCCUCAUGGCUCAGGGGUAGAGCGUCGCACUCGUACCUCGAUUACAGUACAUGCGAAGGUCCGUCGUUCAAAUCGGCGUGAGGGCA